AUAUGUUUUCUUCAAAGAGUUCACAGUUAACAAAGGGUGUGGUUGGUGUGUUGCUGGUGUUUCUGCUGCUCGAGUUGUGUGUGUCCAUUUCAAGUGCAGCCUUUUCUUGCAAAGUUCUCUGCUGCAGUGAUACGCCCAUGACUGCUGGUCAACAGUGUGGAUUACAGUUAACACAACACGGAGUUGCCUCAGCAAGUGCCCCAAAUUACCCCACUACACCCCAGCAGAUAUCUUACAAUAUUCCUCCUCCUCCUUAUCUUCCAACUUUCUUAUGAAUGCUUUCACCAAAAAUUGCCUCCUUAAACUAUGUAAUACAGUGGUAACAUUCUGAAUAAAAAUUCUAAUAUUAAAUGUGCAACAAUGUGCCACACUGUCACCCUUGGAAUAAAAUAUGUUUGGCUUUGA